GUAGGGCUCCCUCGGGACUGUCAGCAGCACAAGUUCGGGGUGGUGGCAGGUUGUAUCUGGGAUAUAUCCUGCGCCAUUCGGAUUUUUGCAGCCACAGGCCCCUGAACACAAACACUGGCCCUUUUCCCUGGGAAAGAAAACUCCCCAGCCCAGGUUCCUGGUGUCAGUUUGUAGGGCUCCCUUGGGACUGUCAGGGCACCACAAGUUCGAGGUGGUGGCAGGUUGCAUCUGGGACACAUCCUGCACCCUUUGGAAUUUCAGGAGGUGGCCAUGAUCAUCCGCAUGUCUGGGGAUCUGUUUCUUCUAGUUCAGUGCAGUGGGAGAGCAGCCUGGGUUUCUGCAGCAAGCCCUGCCAGGAAAGCAUCGUGUCAUCCCACCAGAUGGGAAGAACAUUAGAACAUUGCUGCAUGCAAAACAACUGAUCUUGUUGCAACUAGGUCAGGCACAGGUGUUAUCCCAGAGCUGGCACACACCAUGGUCCCAGGUAGGCACCUCUGUGCCCUUGCAUGCCACUCAGAUGAAUCACAAAUCCUCUGUGUGCUGUUCACCUGAUAGCUGGAGAAGCCCAGAGCACUGGAUACAUCAGUUGCUUGACCUAAUUAACACUGCAGAAAAAGAGGGGAUGGUAUUUUGAUUCCUCCUGUUCUGACCUAGAAGAAAACCACAUAAACACUGCAUCUGGUAAGCAAAAAUGAACAAACCUAUCUCGCCUCCCCAAAACCAGACAAAUGUUUCCUGAAUUAAAUUAUUUAGUGAGUGGGUUAAAUCAGGACUUGACCUACAUGAUUUAUUUCCCAUGUAUGUGUUUGAAUCAGAAUUUCCAGUAGCUAAACUCUGAUUAACCCCACCGCCCAGUGCUCCUUCUUCCCUCUUUUAAUUCCCUGGCAAUGUUGGUGAUUUUUUUUUUUUUUUUUUUUUUUAUUCACAACCCAAAUAUAAGUGAGGCUUUUGACAUCCCUGAACUGUGAACAGUGACUGUGGGGACUCACAUUAACAUUACAGAGCUGCGUCCCUCUCCAUAAUUUCACUGUCAGGGUGGCUCUGCUGACAAGUGCGUACAAAAUGGAGAACAGAGAAAACACAUGAAACAGGGAAGUGGCAAAGGAACAGGGAAAAAGUCAUGAGGAAGCAAGGCAGACAUUUUUCUUAAACAAUGAGCUGGAGGAAGAAAUAAAAGAUAUUUUCUUAUUAAA